rnacentral:lncRNA from 1 species
UAAUUUUGGUUAUUUGGGUUCUUUCUCUCCUCUUUUUAAUGAGUCUGGCCAGGGGUUUGUCAAUUUGUUUACCUUUUCAAAGAACCAGCUCUUAGUUUUAUUAAUUUUCUCUAUUGUUUUUUGAAUCUCUAUUUUAUUGAUUUCUUCUUUGAUCUUUAUAAUUUCCUUCCUUCUGCUGACUUUAGGUCUUUUUUGUUCUUUUUCUAAUUCGUUUAGGUGGAGGGUUAAGUGGUCAAUUUGGGAUCUUUCUUCUUUUUUGAGAAAGGCCUGUAUUGCUAUAAAUUUCCCUCUGAGCACUGCUUUUGCAGCAUCCCAUAGAUUUUGAGAGGUUCUGUCUUCAUUAUCAUUUGUUUCAAGGUAUUUUUUAAUUUCCUUCUUGAUUUACUCAUUGACCCAUUGGUUUUUUAGUAGCAUGUUGUUUAGUGCCCGUGUAGUAGGUUUUUUCCUCGUUUCUUUUCCCAUGGUUGAUUUCUAGUUUCAUGGCAUUGUGGUCAGAGAAGAUACAUGAAAUAAUUUCUGUGUUCCUAAAUUUGUUGAAGUUAGCUUUGUGUCCCAAUAUGUGGUUGAUUCUUGAGAAUGUUCCAUGUGCACUCAAGAAGAAUGUGUAUUCUGCUUUUUUUGGAUGUAGUGUCCUGAAGAUAUCAAUUAAGUCUAACUUUUCUAUUGUUUCCUUUAGGAUCUCUGUUGCUUUAUUGGUUUUCUGUCUAGAGGAUCUGUCCAUUGAUGUGAGGGGGGUAUUUAGGUCUCCUACUAUGAUUGUAUUCUCAUCAAUAUCUCCCUUUAUGUCUGUUAAUAUUUGUUGUAUGUAUCUGGGUGCUCCUAUAUUUGGGGCAUAUAUGUUGAUGAUAGUAACAUCCUCUCCUUGGAUGGAUCCCUUAAUGAUUAAAUAGUGUCCUUCUUUGUCUUUCUUUCUGUCUUUUGUUUUAAACUCUAUUUUGUCUGAUAUGAGCAUUGCGACUCCUGCUUUUCUGUCAUGUCUAUUGGCGUGAAAUAUUUUUCCCCACCCUUUCACUUUCAAUCUAUAUGUAUCUUUUGUCCUAAGGUGAGUUUCUUGUAGGCAGCAUAUUGAAGGUUUUUGCCUUUUUAUCCACUCAGCCACUCUGUGUCUUUUGAUUGGGGCAUUCAGUCCAUUGACAUUUAAGGUGAUAAUUGAUAGAUGAUUAUUUAUUGCCAUUUGAACCUCGUGUUCCAGUUGAUUCUAUGGUUCUCCAUUCUUCCUUUCUUUUUUUGGUUGGAUGGUCUCUGGUUAUUAUCUGCUUGAGUGGUUUUUUUUUUUUUUAUUUUUUGUGAAAGCAAUGUUUGGUUUUGGCUAGUGGUUGCCCUGUUUUUUAAGUAUGCUAACCUCUUCCUAUAAUUGUGUGUUUUAGCCUGAUGGUCCUGUAGGUUCAAACACUUCAUUACUAUACUAAAAUUAAGAAGAGAAACAAACAAACAAAAAAAAGGGUCUAUUUAUUUCCUAACACCCCUUGCCCACAUUUUAUGAUUUUGAUGACUCUUUUUUUCUUUUUAAGUUUAUUUUGUUUGAAACAUGUUCAUGAUUAAAUCUGUAUGCUGGCUUAUUUGAGUGACUGCUCUCUGAUUGUGGUUUCCUCAAUCCUAGUUCUUCUUCUUCCUUUUUUUUUUUUUUUCCUUUUUCCUCCCUUUCUUUCCUUCCUUUCUUUUUGGUUUAGAGAAGCCCUUUCAGUAUUUCUUUUAGCCUGGGCUUUGUGUUGCUGUAUUCUUUUAGCUUUUAUUUGUUGGAAAAAAAAUUUAUUUCUCCUUCUAUUUUAAAUGAUAUUCUUGCUGGAUAGAGUAUUCUAGGAUGCAUAUUUUUUCCUUUUAGCACUUUAAAUAUCUCUUGCCAUUCCCUCCUGGCCUGUAGUGUUUCUGUAGAGAAAUCAGCUGAUAACCUUAUGGGGGUUCCCUUGUAGGUAACAUUCUGCUUUUCUCUUGCUGCCUUUAGGAUCCUCUCUUUAUCACUAACUUUUGCCAUUUUUAUUAUAAUUUGUCUUGGUGUGGGCCUAUUUGGGUUCAACUUGUUUGGGGCCCUCUGUGCUUCCUGUAUCUUGAACUCAGUAUCCUUUAGAUUUAGGAAGUUUCCAGUGAUAAUUUCUUCAAAUAUAUUUUCCAUCCCCUUAUCUUUUUCUACUCUUUCUGGAAUUCCUAUUAUGUGUAGAUUGGCCCACUUUAUAUUAUCCCAUAGGUCUCUUAUAUUGCUUUCAUGUUUUUUUGUUUGGUUUUCUGUCUGCUGACCUGACUGGGUGAUUUCCAUUGUUCUAUCUUCCAAAUCACUAAUUCAUUCUUCUGCAUUAUUCAUUCUGGUUUUACUGCCCUUAGUUCAGUUCGUAUCUCUGCAAAUGAAUUUUCUAGUUUUUCUUGCUCCUCCUUAUAUUUUCUAGUUCCUUUCUGAGGGUGUCUGAAUUACUGUUCAUAUCUUCUCUUAAUUCCUUCAGUAUUUUCACUAUUUCUCUUUUGAACUCCAGGUCUGUCAGACUGCAGAGAUCUGUUUAAUUGUUGACUGUUUUAGGUGAGUUCUCCUGUUGGUUUAACUGCGGGUGGUUUCUCAGCUUCUUCAUCUUGCUUGUUGUUUUCUUUUUCCUGGUGGAGUUGUACUCUCCGUGGCCAAGCAGUGUUUGCCUUGUCACUGCCGUGGAAUGUUUCCUGAGGGCUGACAUUGUUGGUCAGUCUUCUUUGAGGCAGUGUGGCUUUUCCGGAGGGUGGGCAGGGCUGACAGGGUCUCUCUGAAGCAAAUGAGGACUUCCUGAGGGCAGAUAGAACUGGGAGGUAUGCACCACGAUGGAAGCAGAUUUCACUCAGCCGGGCAGAGGUUGCUCUGGUGUUUUUGGGCUGUGGGACUCUUGCAGGGGGCUGGUGGUGUUGGGCAGCUGUACCUUGGGAGUGUGGCACCCCCCCGAGGGCUGGAGUGGCUAGCUGGGCUGCUGCAAACCCAAGAGGCUCUUCCCCAGGGCAGCCUGACUUGGAAGGACGGCCUGAGAAUGUAGGCAGAUCUUUUCACGGCCUAGCUGAUCUUGUUCUAUCUUUUCUAGGCUGUAGACCUUUUCCUGGGGGCUUUCGGUGUUUGGUGCUGCUCCACAGGGGUAUAGCCCCUCCAAAGGGCAAGCAGGCCAGGGCAGGGACAGCCCCUGCGGUGGUAGGCUUCUGGCAAUUGUUGAGGCCAGCCCUCCUGGAUGGCAGGCAGCCCCAGGUCUGGCGCGUGCUUAAGGGGUGGGGUGGGGGGGAUGCACUGGGAAGCACAGCUUUCUGAUAGCUAGCAGGCCAGUGAGCUCACUGUGCCAUGGGGACCCACCCCUUCUUCUCUCCCCUCCCCAACACUGGCGCAGACCCAGCUCUUCUCCCAGGUUCCCUCUGAUAUGGCUUUCCAUUUCUCCGCCCUUAGUGUAUUGCUCCCUCCCCCUGUGACUCUCUGCUUUCUAGUCUCCCAGGCAGUCUCUGCCCUGUCAAACUUGACAGACUGGUUCCUCGACCCCCCCAAGCAGUCUCCGCUCCACCCACCCCAGCCCUUUCCUGGGUACUAACUUCUGGAGCUGAGGUCUCGGUGCCCAGCCCCCACCCAAGCAUCUCAGUUUUUGGUGACUGUGCCAGUAGUUCAAAUGAUCUGUUCAGUCUUUGCUUUUCAGAACUCCAACUUACUGCUAUACUCUUUGCAUCUGGAGAUUCCUCCAAUUCGGUUGAUCUUUCCAUCUAGUAGGUGACUUUCCAGGGUGUGGAAUCCCUUUCUCCUCCACAGUUCCCUUUUGGGAGAGCCCGGCCAGUUCAGAUUCACCAUCUGUCACUCUCCUCUUUUCUCUUGUUUUACCUGGUAAUGUCACGAGAUUUUGCCAUUAUUGGAGUUUAGGUUCUUCUGCCAGCGAUUUGUUGCUGUUCUGUGUGAGUUGUUUAACCUGUAUAUGUGUUUUUUUUUGUGUGCUUGUGGGAGAGGGCGAGCGUGUCCCCCUACUCUUCCACCGUCUUGCCUCCUAAGCUUUUUAUUUUAAUUUUUGCUGAGGAUUAGGCUCAGAAAUGGCCAUUUUAGCUAGUGUAGUUGUGGAAUAUUUAGUUAUGUAUUUGGGGAAUAUUUACACAAUUUGACCUAAUAAAACUGGCAGAAUAUUACUCUAUUCAGGAAUACUUACUUGUUCCCCAAGGCUGAGCUUGAUAGUUCUUCAAAGGCAAGCAUAUAGGAUUCAUCAUAAUUUUUCCUCUUCCUCCAUAUUCUAUAUCCAGUCACUUCAUCAGCAACUAUACUUUACUUCUAAUACAAAUUCAUCUAGACUUCUAUUAAUUACAUCACUAUCCAUACCUCUUUAGCCUCCUGCCCUGGUCUCCUAACUGGUUCCCUUUCUUCUACUCUUUCCCUACAAUCCUCUAUUUUGAAAUGGUUUCCCAAGACACAUAGAAUCAAAUUAGAACUCCUACCAUGACCUACAAACCUUAAACCUUUCCAAAUCUGAGAUGUCCUCCUUCCACCUCCUCUUCCAUUCAUCUCUCUCCCUCUUCUUUACUCUGUUUCAUCAACACUGGAUCUGGUGUUUCUCUAAUGUGCCAAACCCUUUCUAUUUUUUUGCCCUUUGAACUUGUGGUAUCCUCAGCCUAGAAUCCUCUCCCACAUCUUUCUAUGGCUGAUCUGCUUGCCUUUACUUUCUUGCUCCAAUGUAUCACUUCAGAGAGGACUUCCAAAAGAGCCAUGCUUGUUGUUCAUCUCCAGACACUCUGAUCCCUUUGCUCUAAUUUAUUUUCUUCAUAGAACUUAUUUUUUGGUGUCACAUUUUAUGAAUAUAUAUUUAUAUAUUUUAUUUUUCUUGUCUACAUCCUUCUGUCUCUUCAUCUCUCUCUCUCUCUUUUUCUUCUUCCCUUCCAAAGAAGUGUAAGAAAGAAAUUUUGCCUGCCUCCUUUGCUGAUGUACUGUUUUUAUAGCACCUGAGAUAGUGCCUGAAAAAUAAUAAGACCUUAAAAAUUUUUUUAUAUUUAUGAGGGCAAGGACAUGAUGGCAGACUAGGAAGACCCCCCCCCCAAAAUGAAUACAUCAAGGCUAUAACUACAUAUAGAACAAUGCUCAUUGAGAAUGACCUGAACUAGCAGAAUCACUCUUCUAUAAACAAAGCUGCAAAGAAAGAAUCAAAAGGAGUCUGGUAGGAGGUGAGAAAAUAUAUAGUUUUAUAUGCAUAUAUAUGUGUAUGUAGCAAAUAUAUAGUAAAUGCAGUGGAUCAUCCACUAAAUAAGCUAGUAUAAAGAAUAAAAGGCAGAAAUUAUAAAAGCAACUGUAAGAACAAUAAACAGUUAAGAGACAGAGAUGAAUAUGUAAAAUGACCUCAAAAACAAAAAACAGGAGUUCCCGUUGUGGCUCAGUGGUUGACAAACCCAACCAGGAUCCAUAAGGACCCAGGUUCAAUCCCUGGCCUCACUCAGUGGGUUAAGAGUCACGGCGUUGCUGUGAACUGUAGGUCACAGAUAAGGCUGGGAUCCUGCGUUGCUGUGGCUGUGGCAUAGGCCAGCAGCUACAGCUCCGAUUGGCCCCCUAGCCUGGGAACCUC